rnacentral:tRNA from 1 species
GGGGCUAUAGCUCAGUUGGUAGAGCGCUUGAAUGGCAUUCAAGAGGCCAGCGGUUCGAACCCGCUUAGCUCCA